UAUGACUCUGCUUUUUAUGCUCAUCAGCUUAGGCUAAGGGGCACUUUUUAGCUGCCAAGGAACAAAGUUUCCAGUUAUUUAAUGUUUUGCGUAUUUUUUUCUUUUCUAGAUGCUUCCCCUGAGGCAGCCCACUGUUGUGCUUGUCAUAUCACUUGGGUGCCUGUAGACAUCUGUAUGCUUCUCCAGCUGCGUGGGAGACACACUUCACCUUGUGGCUCCUCCUUUCAAAGGUUGCAUGUGCUGUAUGGAGGAACAGUUGACUUUGCUGAUAGAGAACGUCUCAUUGCACCCCCUUUCCACACCAUCUGUCUGACCUGGACCCAUUCCAAACACUACGGCUUUGCUGGCAGAAUGGUCUUCCUGCUACAGAAGUUUUGUAAUCUGCUAAUUGACAGGGUGGGCUGAGGACAGAAAAAUCCUAAAGAUGGAAGUAUCAUUAAAAUCGUGCUGAUCCAGUUGAGGUUUGUGGUUGCCCUCAUCUUGCAAUUGUGCUUUAAAACUCAGUGUGAGCAACCCCCACUGAAGUGAGUACAGUUAUGCUUACUGAUCCAGACCUGAGUCCUUCAAAUGGGGUCCUCUGUGUGCAAAAGCUACAUGCACACGCUUCAGGUGGUGCACGAGUGUGGUAUAACAUCGUGCUUCGGGACUCCUGGGGCCCCUCUCUCAGUUGCAGCCCCCUCAACCUGCCUUUGAACAAUAAUCAGCAGAAAGAGGAGAAUGAAAGAGAAGAAAGAAUUUCUUCCAUACCUUUCAAAACUUCAAAGAAGUUGUUCCCAAUCUGUUUCUGAUGAUUCUUGUCUCAGUGCAAAGCAUGUAUAAAUAUCUGAAAUCUGCACACUGAUCGGAAAUAGUUUUUGGGAAGUUGGAUUUAAUCCCAUGAGCCAAAUGAUCACUACCAACAGCGAUCAGGGAAAACCAAAGUUCACAGCAAAUUUUAAUUUGGCAAAUGCACAAAAUGUUCAAAAGAGCAGAGGUCUCAUUUACAUUCUUCUCUCUUAUAUGGGAUUUUCUUCUAUAUUAGUAAUUAAAGGGUGCAGGCUAUUGAGUGCAACUAUAUCGCAUAAUAGCCAUCGGGGGACAUACUAACAACUUCCUUGAAGUAACGCACACUAGGGUGUUUAUGGUUCAGUGUCACAUAGACUCUCUUUGAUCUAAAUUAGGAUUCAUUGGCAAACUCACAAUAGGCUCCACAUGUACCCCUCUCAACCUCUUUCUUUUAAUCAUGGAAAUUAGAGAUGGAAAAUACCCAUUAAGUCACUUAGUCCAUUUCCCUGUUAGGGCGAAAUUGUUGCCUGUGAUACAUGGGUAGUGCCUGGUCCAGCUUAAAUGUAAACGUCUCAGGCAGUGUGCAGGCUCCUGAUUUUAUCAUUUUCUUCUUUCUCUUCAGAGAGGAAUUCAGAGGGGAAAAAAAUAUAAAACAGAGGGAGAGGUUUCCUCCCCUCCUUAUGGGUUGGAGGUAAUGGUCAUGGGAUGGGCAAAUGUGCUCAGAUGCUGUCAUCUUUCUGGAAACCACACCUCUUGCUAUGGCAGUUCCAUCACUUGUGACGUACACAGAUAAUUCAGUCCCGUCCCCAACAUGUUUUACUCUUCAGCUCAACGGAAUGAUUCCGAUUCCUGAAAUAUCCUGUAAACUUGAGUGAGCAAGUAUUCCAGGUUUGGUGGGGAGGACGAGGCCCAGGAAAGGAGAACUGGUCUCUUUUAGGCUCCCUCUUUGAUGAGUUCUAAAUGGCACAGCCCUCCCAAGUGGAGUGUGAAGUCACGGGUGCAGUGUGAGUUCACGACUGGGUCACUGCCUAUCUUAUUCUGGGAGGUGGCCAGGGGAGGUAUUUUUAUCCUUUGAACAUUUGGCACCUGAAGGAUGUGAAAUAUGUGUCAUUGCACAGUGAAUUCCCUCCCUGACUCAUGUUCCGCAACAGAAGGGAAAUUGUCACUCAGCAUCUGCCCACAUCUCUAGCUGUUGAAGUGAGGUCUAUGGGAAAGCUGCAAAAACCCAGUGACCAACUCUCCAGCGAGAUCUCCAGGGGACAUAUAGCAGUGGCCGAGAUGAGACUUUGAAAGGGAAAUCAGGAGCCAUUAUUAGGUUUGCAUUUUGAAUUUGUUUUAGAGAUAUUCUUUUAAUCUGUUAACAUCACUAGUGAAAUUGUACUGCCUUAGGAAAAUCGGAGAAGUGAACAUUUCUAAUUCUGAUCCAGAUGUGUUAGAGUGUGAUUGUUCACAUUAUAAGAUGGAUGUCUUACCUCCAUAAUUCACUGUGGGUUUCAUUCAGUGGGCUUGACUCAUGCAUCUGAAGGAGGAUCAGGUUUGCAAAAGACAACAUACUUAUUGAGAGGCUUCUGAUUGUCUAAAGCAAUGGCAGGUUUCUAUUAGACAGAAAAAGUGCUUAUAUUCACAGAGAGA
ensembl:lncRNA